rnacentral:lncRNA from 1 species
CCUUGCCUAUGUGUGACAGUAAAACACUGUCGCCUCUAAGAUCUGCCCCAGCAGCUGUUUGCUGAGGAGAAGGCAGCUCUGUGAGAUCCAUGUUCCUGUGGGCUGAGCUACACGGCACCUCCAGAGCUCCUACACCUCCUUCCUGGUCCUUCUGAGGCUCAUGCGAAGCCCAGGCAUGGUCAGCAUCUGUGGUCACGCUGGGGCCUCGGUCACGUUGUAGCUUCACAUGCCACAGAGCCUGCUACAGGGCUGGCUGCAUCCUGCAUCCCACCCUUCCCGUCACUCAGAGAGAGACCCACGCUUGUGUGAAGAUGAGGAAGGACUCUAAAGUGUUAUGAGAGACAAAUAGGAUCAGAAAGCCAGG